CCUGUGACGAAGAUGCUCCUUGCAUUGCCCUGUAGGCUAUAGUGUAUAUAUCCACAAGGUGGCGCUGUGGUAUCACUUUCUGAUUUAUCAAACGAACGCUGCACAAGAUUGUCCCCCCUGAACAUCUCAACUCAUAGAUUUAGCCUGGCCAAUGGUAUCCCUCUUCUGGAUGGAUUGGGCCAAUGCCGUAGCUCAGAUUGGUGUCCAUGUUGGUGUGAGAAAGGGCGUGCUUUCCCUAUUUAAGCCUACACCCAGACGUUGUACCUGUAACGGACAUUCUCACCGCACAUCCCCGUACCAGCCUCUCGGAACCAGAACGUACCAGUACACGUUCCUGUAUACCAGAACCAGUGCAUUGCAGCAAACCUGAGUGCUUGGACAUCAUCUAAGAUGGGCGACAACAACCCAGUGAAGCAGGGAGUGGAGUCCUUUGACAAGAAGUGUCUAAAGAAGACCAAUACAGCUGAGAAGAACACCCUGCCAACCAAGGAGGAUAUCGAGCAGGAGAAGAAAGCUGAAGGAGGCUCCAAAUGAAACGCCAUGUUUCCUCUCCUCCAGUCGUCGUUCUCUCUUCUCCUCCUUUUAAGAAAUAUGUCUAUCAUCUCUGCUUCUGCUUCUUUGCGUUUCACCAUGUUAAUUAAUCACAAUGGCAUUGACUGUGAUGCUGUGGGCUUAGGGGUGCAUGAUUAGUAAAGGGAAGGGCAGUACGAUUUUAACCAUCAAUGUUUUGAAUUAUGCUUUUUCAUGCAGUCUUGGUUGGAAAGCUGGAUAAGACAUGGUGUUUGUUGAAAAAAAGGAAGAGCUGAGCAUGUUGUGUUUGUGUCAAUGACAUAUAAUAGUGUCACCAUCAACAGUUAACUGUUAACUAUGCCCAAUGUUCUGCCUGUACACAGUGCCAUUCUGGAUAAGUUCUGUAACAAUAACAUGAGAGAAGAUAUUUUUGUUUUAGUAAAAUGAGUGUUGUA